GACGAACGCUGGCGGCGUGCUUAACACAUGCAAGUCGAACGGAGCGAAUGAAAGCUUGCUUUUAUGAGCUUAGUGGCAAACGGGUGAGUAACACGUAGACAACCUGCCGACAGGAUGGGGACAACAUUCCGAAAGGAAUGCUAAUACCGAAUGAAGUCGAGGGAAGGCAUCUUCCUUCGAUGAAAGAUGGCCUCUUUUUAUGCUAUCACCUGUUGAUGGGUCUGCGUCUGAUUAGCUAGUUGGUGAGGUAACGGCUCACCAAGGCGACGAUCAGUAGCCGGUCUGAGAGGAUGAACGGCCACAUUGGGACUGAGACACGGCCCAGACUCCUACGGGAGGCAGCAGUGGGGAAUCUUCCGCAAUGGGCGCAAGCCUGACGGAGCAACGCCGCGUGAGUGAAGAAGGUCUUCGGAUCGUAAAGCUCUGUUGACGGGGACGAACGUGCGGAGUGCGAAUAGCGC
rnacentral:rRNA from 1 species